rnacentral:lncRNA from 1 species
AUACUCAUACUGGCUUUGCAACUCAUUUAACAUAGAUGCCAGUGUAUAGCACUUGAUCCGAUUGUCUUCAUCCAUCCACUUUUUAAAAGCUACUCUUUGCUCGGCAGUAGGACGGUUUGGUAAUACUAUGAAUUUUUGAUCGAGAAUAUGACCUAAUUUUUCUGAGAUCAGAACUAUCCUGAGAUUUCUGAGUUAGUCUUUAUAAUUAGUUUCAGUCAAAUGAUUGGUUUCAAAGAUGCGGGC